rnacentral:rRNA from 1 species
UACGUAGGGCGUAAGCGUUGUCCGGAAUUAUUGGGCGUAAAGAGCUCGUAGGCGGCUUGUCACGUCGGGUGUGAAAGCCCGGGGCUUAACCCCGGGUCUGCAUUCGAUACGGGCAGGCUAGAGUGUGGUAGGGGAGAUCGGAAUUCCUGGUGUAGCGGUGAAAUGCGCAGAUAUCAGGAGGAACACCGGUGGCGAAGGCGGAUCUCUGGGCCAUUACUGACGCUGAGGAGCGAAAGCGUGGGGAGCGAACAGG